UCUUGUACUUUUCGGUACAUGCAGGUAUACGAGUGAAUGGUCUCUUUACUUCAGCGGAUUAUUUUGCUGCUAGCUUUUGUUUAUCACACAGAUGCAGUUAAUGCUUAAUCCUCAGAGCUGCAUAUAACCAAGUGGUGCUUACCUGGAUUUGAGGACCUCUGAUGCUUGUUUUAUCUCAAGAGUGAUGGUCGGUUCCUGUUGGUGGUUAUCAGAUAUUCAGAUAGUGUAUGUGACACCUGUUUUGCUUCCGGUAGAAGCUACGGCAGACCCACUUUUACAGAGUUUUGAUAAACUUGAGAGGAAAAGGGUCAUAGUUUAUUCAACAAAGUUACCUGGUCCGAUUUCUCUAUUCCAUGGAUGCAGAAUGAUGGGUGCAUACGAGACACUGAUGAUCCUAAAAAAGGGGACAGCCUGUGUAUGUAUUCUGAAGGCAGGGACGAACCACAUGGUGAGGAGAUGUUAGAGCAGAUCACUGAUAGUAGCCUUUACCAACACAUGGGAUCCACAUGUCAGAAUGGAGGAUGUGUGAGAGAGAAAAAAGGUGACAGUUGCUGUGGUCCCCUUUAUUUGAGGAGAGAUGGGAGGUUUUUUGGUGACAAAAAAGAAAAAAAGAGCAAUCUGGGAACUGCUGGAGCGUCUCCACCAAUAUAUAACAGUUUUAUGAGCAUGAGGGAUGAUAUUGCCGAGCUGCUGGUGAUGCUUUAAUGAUCGAUGUCAAGGAGUUGUAGUGACGCAACAGGAGAUGAUAGAGUGCUGUCGGAUGGAUGGAGUGAAACUGCCUGCUGCCGAGGUGGCCGACGGAGAGCAUGCUGAGUUGAAAAGGGGUGUUGGCCACGCUCCACGAUAAAAAAAAUCAUUCCCGUAUGCCCUUGACUAGGAAAACAUAUGUCGGCCCAUCAUCUCAGAAAAUUCUCAUCCUGGAAGUGAUGUCCUUAGGAUUGAGAUUCAGAUUCUCAUCCUGUCGGAGCAUCGCCAAAUGUAGCGGUGGCCUGGGCAUCGCAAAUUCUGUAGGUACUACUAGAAUGGUGAAUGGAGGCGCCGCACCACACGGGUGGGCCGGUUUUUUUUUGGUUUUUAACCUUUUUCGAACAAAACUUACAAACUUACAUUUAGAUCCCUAGAUGAUUUAUUUCAGUUGCUAUAGGCUAUGACGCCGAGUUAACACAGAACGGCGGCGACGCGGCGGGAAGAGGAUAACGGCGGUGUGGCAUGAGAAGAUCUAUGGUGCCGAGCUAGGGGUCACGUCGGCUUGCACGUCAACCCUAGCCGCCGUCGU